rnacentral:lncRNA from 10 species
UUUUCUUGUAAAGUUCUUCUAUGGGUAGGGUUUAUCUGUAAGAAAUGUGAGCUUAGACUGUUUACCUGGCUUUUACCCUCAGUGAUGAUUACAUGGCAUUAUUUCAGGUAAUAUAUGGAAUUUUUUUUAACCUAACUUUAAAAGAACAGGAUUUCCUAAAAAUACCCUUCGCAAGAGGCAAUCUAUGGUGCAGUCAAAUGAAGGCCAUGUGGAUAUGUGUUGGUUUUACCUACUGGGCAGCCUUUCUCCCA